GGGCUGGUGAUUCAAUCCGGUAGAAUGCUCCCUUGGCUUGGGAGAUGCUCGGGGUUCAAAUCCCCGCCAGUCCA
rnacentral:tRNA from 1 species